AGUGGCGGACGGGUGAGUAACGCGUGGGUAACCUGCCUCAUACAGGGGGAUAGCAGCUGGAAACGGCUGGUAAUACCGCAUAAGCGCACAGUACCACAUGGUACAGUGUGAAAAACUCCGGUGGUAUGAGAUGGACCCGCGUCUGAUUAGGUAGUUGGUGGGGUAACGGCCUACCAAGCCGACGAUCAGUAGCCGACCUGAGAGGGUGACCGGCCACAUUGGGACCGAGACACGGCCCAA
rnacentral:rRNA from 1 species